UUGGAUAUUGGAUAUAGUGUGGUUUCUCAUUAUUACAAUAUCAUUAUGAGAACAAUAUAAUGAUCACAACUGCUUCUCAUAAGUUUAGAUACAGGCUUCUUCCUGAUAAAUAAUACAAGAUGAUAUUCUGUGGAGGAGAAAUGAAAUUAGGGGAAUUCACCAACUGCUUUGCUAAGCCCAACCUCAUUAAAACAGCAAGGACAGGACUUCUGAGAAAGCAAUGGUGAUCUCCACAGAGAGUGCGGCUAAUGGUUGUGGUGGCAAAGACGAAUCGAUGAAUGGAUCAUCUCUUUGGAAUUCCUCUCUUGAGCAGGAAUCACCCACAAGUGCUCCGUACAAAGGACUGAAUUACAAGGUGAUGCGGUCAUUAAGCAAAAUAUCAUGUGCACUGAACGUACAAUGUCACUCCUGCUGCAGUUUUUAAGUGAAUCAUCCACAGUGGUUAAGUGAGACAUCAUGUGACUGUGAUUUGCAAUUUUACUGUCGGUUUCUCCAGUGAUUUUGCAUGUUGGAAGUGAAGCAUGCAGAUAAAUGGUGAUCACCUGACCACGGGAUGUUGUGAUGGUCAUAAACACCCACCAGUUGUAAAAUGCUUGAAUUUUGAUCAUGUGACCACAGGGAUGCUGUAACAGUAAUAAGUGCGAGGACUGGGUGUGAAGCUACUUUUUCAAUGCCCUUGUAAUUUCAAAUGGUCACUAAACAGGGUAGUUGUUAAGCAAAGACUAUCUGUAUCAAGUGAUUGGGGGAGCUGUAAUUCUUGAGUGUUGGUUUGGACCUACCUGUCUCUAGUCCAAGGUUGAUCUGAAACUGCAAGUGAGAUUGUCCAAACUUGUUAUAGUUUAUAUGUGGAAUAUAAUCUUUGCCCUCUUCAAAGAUCACUCAGAAACUGCUAUUGAUAGAGAAUGCAGCAUCCCAUUUACUGGCUGAUAAUAGUCACCAAUAUGAUGAUACCUACGUGUUAUAGAUCCAAACUUUUCAUAGGUGUCCAGGUGCCAUUCAAAGAGCUUGAUUCAAUCUGUAAAACCCUAUAUAGUUCAGAAGCACUUGCAGUACUGCUUCUCCAGUGGAUUUGAAUCACACAAUACAUAAAUCAUGAGAAAAAUGUUUAGUAAUUUCCCACUUUCAUGAGGUCCUGAACCUCAAAUCAUCAAAUAUUGUUUCUCCAUUAUGGCGGCUGUCCUGUGGAAGAGUCUCCUCCUGAUAAUUCACAAGGAAGCAAGUUAAGAUGAAGCUUUUUUGGAGAGUUUUCAGUGACUGUUGAUGAUACUAUACAGUUGUUGAUAAUGCACCAGUUUUAGCAAGGAGUUCAGGUUUUUUUUACUACACUAUUGCAGAUGCAUAAAUUUAAUCCAUAAAAUUUAACCCAUAAAAACCAAAAAAUUUGGUUUACUGUGAAUAUUUUAUUGUAUUAGUAUUAUAUCUGUGAUGUUAUUUUCUUGGAGUAAUUUUUGAAACAAGGAAGAAUGUGAGACUGAGA